rnacentral:rRNA from 1 species
UACGUAAGGGGCGAGCGUUGUUCGGAAUUAUUGGGUGUAAAGGGCGCGUAGGCGGCUUGGCAAGUCUGGUGUGUAAGGCUACAGCUUAACUGUAGUUAGGCGCUGGAAACUGCGAGGCUAGAGUGCAGGAGAGGGAGCUGGAAUUCCAGGUGUAGGGGUGAAAUCUGUAGAGAUCUGGAAGAACACCGGUGGCGAAGGCGAGCUCCUGGUCUGUAACUGACGAUGAGGCGCGAAAGCGUUGGGAGCGAACAGG